GUAGUCAUAUGCUUGUCUAAAAGAUUAAGCCAUGCAUGUCUAAGUAUAAGCUUCUUAUACGGCAAAACUGCGGAUGGCUCAUUAAACCAGUUAUAGUGUACUUGAUCAUAACACUACUCGGAUAACUGUAGUAAUUCUAGAGCUAAUACGUGCAAAAAGUCCCGACUUCACGGAAGGGAUGUAUUUAUUGGUCGAUAGCCAACACAGGGAGCAAUCCCUGUGUAUUGGUGAAUCACUCUAAACGAUCGGAUCGCAUAGCCUCGCGCUGGCGACUGUUCAAUCCAGUUUCUGACCCAUCAACUUCAGAUGAUAGGGUAUUGGCCUACCAUGGUUACAACGGGUAACGGGGAAU
rnacentral:rRNA from 1 species